rnacentral:rRNA from 1 species
CAACGACUCUCGGCAACGGAUAUCUCGGCUCUCGCAUCGAUAAAGAACGUAGCGAAAUGCGAUACUUGGUGUGAAUUGCAGAAUCCCGUGAACCAUCGAGUCUUUGAACGCAAGUUGCGCCCGAAGCCGUCAGGCCGAGGGCACGUCUGCCUGGGCGUCACGC